CCUACGGGUGGCAGCAGUGGGGGAUAUUGCACAAUGGGGGAAACCCUGAUGCAGCGACGCCGCGUGAGUGAUGAAGUUUUUCGGUAUGUAAAGCUCUAUCAUCAGGGAAGAAAAUGCCAGUACCUGACUAAGAAGCCCCUGCUAAUUACGUGCCAGCAGCCGCGGGAAUACUUAGGGGGCGAGCGUUAUCCGGAUUUACUGGGGGUAAAGGGAGCGUAGAUGGUUAUGUAAGUCUGGAGUGAAAGCCCGGGGCUCAACCGCGGGAGUGCUUUGGAAACUGUGUAACUGGAGUACAGAAGAGGAAGGCGGAAUUCCAGGUGUAGCGGUGAAAUGCGUAGAUAUCAGGAGGAACACCAGCGGCGAAGGCGACCUGCUGGACUGAAACUGACGUUGAGGCACGAAAGCGUGGGGAGCAAACAGGAUUAGAUACCCCGGUAGUC
rnacentral:rRNA from 1 species